AGGAGAGAAUGUGUUAAAUGUGUCUCACUAACACGCACACGAUACACACACACACACAGCUGUGUCAUUGCCUAACCACGGAGUGGCCUGUUCAGCCACAGAGUACACUUCCUCCUUUUUCCUUGGUAGAAAGAGAGAAACUGAGAGAGAGGGAAACAGAGAGAGAGGGAAACAGAGAGAGAGGGAAACAGAGAGAGACAGAGAAAGAGAGAGAAACAGAGGUAGAAAGAGAGAAAAAGAGAGGGAAACAGAGAGAGCGGUAUAAAGAGAGAAACAGAGAGAGAGAGGUAAACAGAGAGAGAGGUAAACAGAGAGAGAGGUAGAAAGAGAGAGAGAGCGAGAGAGAGGUCAACAGAGAGAGAGGUAAACAGAGAGAGAGGUAAACAGAGAGAGAGGUAAACAGAGAGAGAGGUAGAAAGAGAGAGAGAGAGGUCAACAGAGAGAGAGGUAAACAGAGAGAGAGGUAGAAAGAGAGAAACAGAGAGAGAGGGAAACAGAGAGAGAGGUAGAAAGAGAGAAACAGAGAGAAAGGUAAACAGAGAGAGGUAAACAGAGAGAGAGGUAAACAGAGAGAGAGGUAGAAAGAGAGAGAGAGGUCAACAGAGAGAGAGGUCAACAGAGAGAGAGGUAAACAGAGAGAGAGGUAAACAGAGAGAGAGGGAAACAGAGAGAGAGAGAGGUCAACAGAGAGAGAGGGAAACAGAGAGAGAGGUAAACAGAGAGAGAGGUAAACAGAGAGAGAGGUAAACAGAGAGAGAGGGAAACAGAGAGAGAGGGAAACUGAGAGAGGUAGAAAGAGAGAAACAGAGAGAGAGGUAGAAAGAGAGAGAGAGAGAGGUCAACAGAGAGAGAGGGAAACACAGAGAGAGGGAAACUGAGAGAGAGGUAGAAAGAGAGAAACAGAGAGAGAGGGAAACAGAGAGAGAGGUAGAAAGAGAGAAAGAGAGAGAGAGAGGUAAACAGAGCGGUAUAAAGAGAGAAACAGAGAGAGAGGUAAACAGAGAGAGAGGUAUACAGAGAGAGAGGUAGAAAGAGAGAAACAGAGAGAGAGAGAGAUAAACAGAGAGAGAGGUAAACAGAGAGAGAGGUAGAAAGAGAGAGAGAGAGGUCAACAGAGAGAGAGGUAGAAAGAGAGAGAGAGGUAGAAAGAGAGAAACUGAGAGAGAGAGGGAAACAGAGAGAGAGGUAGAAAGAGAGAGAGGGAAACAGAGAGAGAGGGAAACAGAGAGAGAGGUAGAAAGAGAGAGAGGUAAACAGAGAGAGAGGUAGAAAGAGAGAAACAGAGAGAGAGAGUUAAACAGAGAGAGAGGUAAACAGAGAGAGAGGUAAACAGAGAGGUAGAAAGAGAGAGAGAGAGGUCAACAGAGAGAGAGGUAGAAAGAGAGAGAGAGAGGUCAACAGAGAGAGAGGUAAACAGAGAGAGGUAGAAAGAGAGAGGUAGAAAGAGAGAGAGGUAAACAGAGAGGUAGAAAGAGAGAGAGAGAGGUCAACAGAGAGGUAGAAAGAGAGAGAGGUAAACAGAGAGGUAGAAAGAGAGAGAGGUAAACAGAGAGGUAGAAAGAGAGAGAGGUAAACAGAGAGGUAGAAAGAGAGAGAGGUAAAGAGAGAGGUAGAAAGAGAGAGAGGUAAACAGAGAUGUAGAAAGAGAGAGAGGUAAAGAGAGAGGUAGAAAGAGAGAGAGAGAGGUCAACAGAGAGAGAGGUAGAAAGAGAGAGAGAGGUAGAAAGAGAGAGAGAGAGGUCAACAGAGAGAGAGGUAGAAAGAGAGAGAGGUAAAGAGAGAGGUAGAAAGAGAGAGAGAGAGAGGUCAACAGAGAGAGAGGUAGAAAGAGAGAGAGAGGUAGAAAGAGAGAGAGAGAGGUCAACAGAGAGAGAGGUAGAAAGAGAGAGAGGUAAAGAGAGAGGUAGAAAGAGAGAGAGGUAAACAGAGAGGUAGAAAAAGAGAGAGGUAAACAGAGAGGUAGAAAGAGAGGAAAAUACAAAAAAAAACCACUAAAAAUACUUGAAUCGGUCAUAGAGCCCAUUGCCCUUUAUGGUUGUGAGGUCUGGGGUCCGCUCACCAACCAAGACUUCACAAAAUGGGACAAACACCAAAUUGAGACUGCAUGCAGAAUUCUGCAAAAAUAUCCUCUGUGUACAACGUAGAACACCAAAUAAUGCAUGCAGAGUAGAAUUAGGCCGAUACCCACUAAUUAUCAAUAUCCAGAAAAGAGACGUUAAAUUCUACAACCACCUAAAAGGAAGCGAUUCCCAAACCUUCCUCAUCAAAGCCAUCACCUACAGAGAGAUGAACCUGGAGAAGAGUCCCCUAAGCAAGCUGGUCCUGGGGCUCUGUUCACAAACACAAACACACCUCACAGAGCCCCAGGACAGCAGCACAAUUAGACCAACCAACCAAAUCAUGAGAAAACAAAAAUAUAUUUACUUGACACAUUGGAAAUAAUGAACAAAAAAACAGCGCAAACUAGAAUGCUAUUUGGCCCUAAACAGUGGCAGAAUACCUGACCACUGUGACUGACUCAAACUUAAGGAAAGCUUUGACUAUGUACAUACUUAGUGAGCAUAGCCUUGCUAUUGAGAAAGGCCGCCGUAGGCAGACAUGGCUCUCAAGAGAAGACAGGCUAUGUGCUCACUGCCCACAAAAUGAGGUGGAAACUGAGCUGCACUUCCUAACUUCCUGCCCAAUGUAUGACCAUAUUAGAGAUACAUAUUUCCCUCAGAUUACACAGAUCCACAAAGAAUUCGAAAACAAAUCCAAUUUUGAUGAACUCCCAUAUCUACUGGGUGAAAUUCCACAGUGUGCCAUCACAGCAGCAAGAUUUGUGACCUGUUGCCACAAGAAAAGGGCAACCAGUGAAGAACAAACUCCAUUGUAAAUACAACCCAUAUUUAUUCUUAUUUAUUUUCCCUUGUGUACUUUAACCAUUUGUACAUUGUUACAACACUGUAUAUAUAUAUAUAUAUAUAUAUAUAUAUAUAUAAUAUGACAUUUGUAAUGUCUUUAUUGUUUUGAAACUUCUGUAUGUGUAAUGUUUACUGUUAAUUUUUAGUGUUUAUUUCACUUUUGUAUAUUAUCUACCUCACUUGCUUUGGCAAUGUUAACAUAUGUUUCCCAUGCCAAUAAAGCCCCUUGAUUUGAAUUGAAGAGACAGUGAGACAGACAGAGAGAGAGACACAGUGAGACAGACAGAGAGAGAGACACAGUGAGACAGACAGAGAGAGACACAGUGAGACAGAGAGAGAGAGAGAGAGACACAGUGAGACAGACAGAGAGAGAGACACAGUGAGACAGAGAGAGAGAGAGACACACAGUGAGACAGAGAGAGAGAGAGAGAGAGAGACACAGUGAGAGAG